rnacentral:tRNA from 1 species
AGUAACUGUGAAGCUGAUGUUUCGAACGCUUUCAUACGGCGUUGUGAGAAGAGUUUGAUUCUCUUAGUUACUACCA